AUUGAACGCUGGCGGCAGGCCUAACACAUGCAAGUCGAACGAGCGGCGGACGGGUGAGUAAUGUAUGGGGACUGCCCGAUAGAGGGGGAUAACUACUGGAAACGGUGGCUAAUACCGCAUACUAUCGGAUAACCCAUAUGGGAUUAGCUAGUAGGUGGGGUAAAGGCUCACCUAGGCGACGAUCUCUAGCUGGUCUGAGAGGAUGAUCGGCAAAAUUGGACCUGAGACAGGGCCCAGACUCCUACGGAGGCAGAAGUGGGGAAUAUUGCACAAUGGGCGCAAGCCUGAUGCGGCCAUGCCGCGGGUAUGAAGAAGGCCUUAGGGUUGUAAAGUACGUUCAGCGGGGAGGCGUUACCCGCAGAAGAAGCACCGGCUAACUACGUGCCAGCAGCCGCGGUAAUUC
rnacentral:rRNA from 1 species